rnacentral:lncRNA from 1 species
AAAGUUUUAAAAUCCGGACCGGCCUGACAGGUUGACCCGGGACCCGGCCGACCCAAGCCUGGAACCGGUCCAGGUGGAGACAAAAACCCACUUGGAAAUUGGCCCGGCAAAACCCGGUCGACCCGGGACCGAUCCACCCUGUCAAACCCGGGUGAGACCCUGCCAAUUAACUAUAGUGAGAGAGAGAGACAAGGAGAGAUGGCUUUGAUGGAUAAAAUUAAAGAUUCAGGGAGGAGGUACUUGAACGCAGCGUGACAGAAGCAAUGGUUACUCUUAAACGACCAAGAAUCCCUACCCAGAUCGAAAACUGCAACCAAUAGUACCCAAGAUGCCAAGAAACCAAAUAAAUUACUUCUCAGGAAGCUCUUCUACGAGGACCAUGAAACCUUUUCGUGUUCUUCAUCGGAAGCCGAUGAUAUUGACAGCCUAGAGCCUGGAUCUUACUGUGUGUGGACGCCAAAGAAGGAGGAGGGGUCUCCAAGGAGCUGCAAGAAGAGCAACUCUACAGGGUCUAAUUCAAAGAGAUGGAAGUUCAAAGAUUUUAUUCACCGGAGUAAUAGUGAUGGUAAGGAUACUUUUGUGUUCUUGAUGCCUAAUAACAAGAGGAAUGGCCUCCAUCAUCAGAGAUUAGGCAGCGAUGACCAAGAUAGGAACCAUAAUAAACAUGGCACAGAGAAAAGGAAAGAAGCGAAAGGAGCUGGAGGAGGUUUGUUUCAAUUUCAAGAACAUUAUCACUUGAGGAGUAAAUAAGGUAAUAAACGCUGCUUCUAUUUGCCUUACAGACUGGAUUUGGUGGGGUUUUUGUCUAAUGUUAAUGGGGUAGGAAGGAAUCUUCAUUCAUUUUGAGAGGUAGCGGAUGAUUAAUAUAUUUUUAUUUUUAUUUUUAUAAUUUUUCCUCUUAACUACAAAUUUUGUGUGUAUUAAUUUUAUUUUUGUUUUUGUAGUAGAGAUCUUUUAUAAUUUCCAGGAUGGAUUUUAAUUUUGUGUGUAGAUAAAAUAAUUAAGCUGUCGUGAUGGAUG